rnacentral:tRNA from 1 species
GGGCCUGUAGCUCAAUGGUUAGAGCCGGCCGCUCAUAACGGUCUGGUUGGGGGUUCGAGUCCCUCCAGGCCCACCA